rnacentral:rRNA from 1 species
GGGCGUCGAACAGCCGACUCAGAACUGGUACGGACAGGGGAAUCGACUGUUUAAUUAAAACAAAGCAUUGCGAUGGU